UGUGAGCCGCUAUGUGAUCCUCUUCUUACCCUAACACCCCUAAUCUUCCCUUAACCUAUAUUCCUCCACCGCAUUUCUGCUUCGCACCUCGCUCAAGCUAUCAGAACAACCAAACAGACAAAAAAAAGUGUUUUCUUGUCUCCCUCGCUGAUCGUCCAUGGCUAAUAACGGCUCCAGCUCCGGCAAAAGCUUUGCUCCCGGCCUUGAGUCUCGCCGGAACCUCUCCGUCACUCCUGCCCGUCAGAUCUCCAAAGAUGUUUUGGCAUCUGACAAUCCUAUUCCGCUUUCACCGCAAUGGCUUCUGCCAAAGCCAGGGGAAAUUAAACCUGGGGAAGGGCAUAUAAGCACAAAUCCUGGUUAUGGCAACAGCUCGGAUGUCAAUAAGUCAUCUGGAAAUGGUGAGGAGAUGCAUGACACGCUGAAGGAAAAGGAUGUAUUCCGUCCAUCCUUGCUUAAUAUGGAAACCAACCGUCGUGACCGCUGGCGUGAAGAAGAAAGGGACACCAAUUCCUCUGCGCGCAAGGACCGCUGGAGGGAUGGAGAUAAGGAGCUCGGUGACCCCCGGAGGACAGAGUGGCGGAUGGAGAACUCUUCCAUUCGUCAUUUUGGAGAAUCACGUCGUGUCUCUUCUGACCGCUGGACCGAAUCUAAUGACCGGGAUGCUAAUUUUGAUCAACGGCGUGAGAGUAAAUGGAACACACGCUGGGGCCCUGAUGAUAAGGAGACAGAAGGUAUGCGUGAAAAGCGGAUGGAUUCAGGCAGAGAUGGGGACAUGCUCCUUGACAGAGGUUUGUUACCAAGUCAUCAAAAGGAUGAGAGAGACAGAGAUAAUCAUCGAACAUGGAGGUCCAAUUCUUCCCAAAGUCGUGGAAGGGGUGAGCCUUCUCAUAACCAAACUCUGACGCCAAACAAACAAACUCCUACUUUUUCCUACAGUCGAGGGCGUGGGGAAAAUACCCCUCCAACCUUUUCUGUUGGCCGGGGAAGGGUCAGUUCCACUGGAAGCUCUGUGAAUAGUUUUUCUGUUCAUUCCCAGGCUCCAGGGACCUUCUUAGACAAGGGCGACACUGGCCAUUGUGUACCUUCCCUCUUAAGAUACAGUAGGACAAAAUUGCUUGAUGUCUACAGGAAGACUGAUGGGAUGUCAUGUGAGAAACUACUUGAUGGUUUUGUACAAGUGCCUCCUCUUACCCUGGAAGAACUGUUAGAACCUUUAUCACUUUGUGCUCCUACUUCUGAUGAAAUGGUUGUUUUGAAGGGAAUUGAGAGAGGGGAAAUAGUCAGUAGUGGUGCACCUCAGAUAUCCAAGGAUGGAGCUGUGGGGAGGCACCCAAUGGAUUUCACACAGUCAAGGCGAACCCAGAUUGGAAGUAGAGACGACAUUCCACUUGCUAGAGAAGAUUUUAAAGAUGAAAUUGCUGAUGCUUCAAAAGGCAGUUAUUUGGGGUACUCAGAAGGCUCCUCCAAGGAAAAACAAACACAAAACCUUGGGCCUAACUCAAAAAUGGAAACCAAGCAUGAUCAAAAAAUGUAUCAUGAUAACAAGUUCAAAGAUGAAGGUUUUAGAGAGGGUGGCCAUCCUGACAGAAUGGCUGAUGAGCCAUCCAUCAUUCAAGAUGUUAGUGUCAAGGGAAGCAAUUCUAUCCCUACCGGGGUUUCUUGGCGGAGCUCAUCUUCAGGAGACCAAUCACGUACUGGGUUUCGUGAUUGGACUGAGACUCCUAGGGAUGUCAAUCCUAGAAUGUCUGAGAUGGAGUGGACACAACCACAAAAUGAUCAAAACAAUCGAUUGGAAAGCAUGGCUAAGUCAUCUUUCUCGAAGGAAGCAAAGUGGCAAACCGCUGAUGAUCCCAUUAUAAAACGGCAGCCAUCUGCAGUUUUUGACAGAGAACACAAGGGCAACAUGCUUUCACCGCCCUCUUUUGAGGACCUCAUUCUUUAUUACAAAGAUCCUCAGGGUGUCAUUCAAGGACCCUUUCCUGGUAGUGAUAUCGUUGGAUGGUUUGAGGCUGGAUAUUUUGGGAUAGAUCUGCAGGUUCGCAAUGCAAAUGCGUCAGAAGACUCACCAUUUUCAUUACUUGGUGAUGUCAUGCCCCAUCUUCGAGCUAAAGCUAGACCACCACCUGGCUUUGGCUUACCAAAGUCAAAUGAAUCAGCAGAUGGGUCGAGUAGGCCAAACUUUAAUAGCCUUGCAAAGCCUCAUUCUGGUAUUAAUGAGAUUGAUGUGAUAAGAAGUGAGCCAAGACACGUGCAUGCUUCAUCAACAGAAGCUGAAAAUAGGUUUCUGGAGUCACUGAUGUCUGGUAAUUUGAGCAAUUCAUCCCAAGGUUUGCAAGCGUAUAUUGGUAACAAUCCUAGUGGCAUUCCUUCGUCUGCCAUAGAUGCAGAAAAUGAUCUGUACCUUUUAGCCAAGAGAAUGACACUUGAACGGCAAAGAUCGCUGCCGAAUCCUUAUCCAUAUUGGCCAGGGAGAGACCCUACGCCAAUUGUUUCAAAACCAGAGAUUAUCUCAGAUUCUUUAACCCCUCAUGUAAAAGUUUUGUCUUCAAUGGCAGACAAUUCACAUCAGCCUCAUUCUCAAAAUUCUGAGUUGAUGUCCAUCAUCCAUGGCUUAUCGGAUAGACCAGCCACAGGUGUAAACAAUGGUGCUCCGGGCUGGUCUAAUUUCCCUGUGCACGGUGGCUUGGAUCCAUUUCAGGAGAAGAUUGAUCUACAUGCCCAAAGUUUUCCAGCUCAAACUCCCUUUGGGCAGCAACAAAGGCUGCAACCACAAAGCUCACCCCAGUUGGCAAAUCUUCUUGGUCAAGCUGUAGAUAAUCCUUCUGGAGUUUUGACUGCUGAAAAGUUACUCUCUCUCGGUUUAUCGCAGGAUCCGCAGCUCCUUAAUAAUUUGAUACAACAACAGUAUUUGUUGCAAUUGCAUUCCCAGACACCUGUUCCGUCACAUCAGCUGUCGUUGUUGGAUAAGCUCUUGUUGCUUAAACAGCAACAGAAACAGGAGGAGCAGCAGCAGUUGCGUCAACAACAAUUGCUCUCUCAGUUUUUGUCUGAGCAUCAUUCUAACCAGCGAUUUAGUGAACCGUCUUUUGGCCAAUCACAGGUUGCAGCGGUGUCCACAGGUAAUCAAGUUGAUCCUUCUCGAAUGCAGGCAUCACAAGAACUGUUUCCUCCCCAGGUAUAUGUAACCAAUAUGCGAGAUGAACUCAGUGCUAACACCUUGAAUCUGCCUCCACAAGUAACCCAGGAUCUCACUCAUAGUGUUAGUUCUGGAACCUCUCCUGUACCUCUACCCCAUCAAAUGUUUGGGAAUAUUCAUCCUCAGCAUGAUUGGGAUGCUACUCUUCCUAAGCAUACUGAUAAUGUCGUCCAGAAGGAAUCACCUCCAACCUCAACAUUUGUUGAAAGCUUUCAAGAGACAUCAAACAAAUCUACAAAUGAGCCUUCCGUUGUUCAUAAUGCUGUCCUUGCUUCUGAACACCAUGCUUCUCUACCUAUGGAACUUCCAUCAGAGGACCUGCGGAGAACUGGUGAAAGUGCAGUUGUUGCGGUAUCCGGAGCAACUGCAGAUGAUCUUCCUUCUGUUGGACUUUGUCAGAAUGAUUCAUCUGUGCCAGGGAAUCUUACUGGUGAGAAAGUGCAGCCAGAUGUUACUCUUGAUGGAAAUCAGGUUGAAAAAGAAAGACCAAGUGAUGUGCCAUCUCAAGGGACUGCCAUUAAAAGUGUUGAAGUUCGUGAGGCAAGAAAAGGUUCUGAUAAGAAGUCCAGAAAACAAAAAUCUUCAAAGCUGCAACCCUUGUCAGACCAGGCAAAGGUACUGUCAGAUGCUUACUCUUUGGCGCAAUUGAACCAAUCAGAGUCCGGAGGGCUAGAUAUUGGUAACACAAAACUUGAUGCACGCAUUGGUUCGGGAGAAACACUCCAAGGUACAUCACCGCCAAAAAGAAAAGACAACAGGACUAAGGUUACUACCAUAGAAAUUGGUGAUUCCCAACACUUGAAUAACUCAGUACCUGUGUCUCUUUCUGGGGAAAAUGUUGGAAUGGUUGAAGUCAAGGGGGAAUCAGAUCUGGUUGGGUCUGUCUCCUCUCAGAAUGUGCAGAUUCACUCUGGACAACGAGCUUGGAAACCUGCUCCUGGUUUCAAGGCAAAGUCAUUUUUGGAAAUUCAACAGGAAGAACAGAGAAAGGCACAUGUUGAAGUGGAUGUGUCCAACGUCACUAAUUCUGUUAACUCUAUGAUUUUGUCAUCUCCAUGGGCUGGGGUUGUGGCCAAUUCAGACGCUAAAUUCUCCAAAGGAACUCCAAAAGAUGAAGGUUUUCCUGAGGUUAAUACGCAGUUACCCCAUAGUUCUCCAAAACCAAAGAGCAAGAAAAGCCAAUUGCAUGACAUACUCGCGGAAGAAGUUUUGGCAAAGUCUGAUGAGAAAGUUAUGGAGGUUCUUGACAGUGCCUCGAAUCUGACUUCGACACUUGUUACUGCCAGUCAUCUGGAAUCUGUUGACGAUGACAACUUCAUUCAGGCUAAAGAAACCAAAAAGAGUCGCAAAAAGUCUAAAGCUAAGGCUGCUGUUAGUGCUGUAGCUGGGGCUAAGGUCUCUGUACCCAGCACUCCUGCUGAUGUGCGUGUUGCUUCAAGCCCCAUUGAGAAAGCCAAAAUUUCACGCUCUAUGCAAGAGGAGAAAGAUGUUUUGCCUGCAAUCCCAUCAGGCCCUUCAUUGGGAGAUUUUGUUCUUUGGAAAGGAGAGUCAGCCAACCCUUCUCCUGUGCCUGCAUGGUCUACAGAUUCCAAGAAGCUUCCUAAACCCACAUCUUUGAGGGACAUCCUUAAGGAACAGGAAAAGAAGGGUUCUAUGCCACUGCAAAGCCAGAUUCAAGUCCCUCAGAAAUCACAGCCAGUGCAGGCUAACGAUGGUAGUCAUUCAUGGUCCCUCUCUGCAUCUCCAGCUAUGGCUGCUUCUCCUAUGCAAAUCAAUUCUCGUGCUGUUUCUCAGUCGAAACAUAAAAGAGAUGAUGACUUAUUUUGGGGGCCAAUGGAUCAACCCGAGCAAGAAACUAAGCAGUCAGAUUUUCCUCGUCCUGUUAAUGUCGGUAGCUCGGGAACUAAGAGCUCUCCUGCAAAAGCAAAUCUGGGUGGAUCGGCAAACCGACAAAAAUCGAUGGGUGGCCGUGCUGCUGAGCAUCCUCUCUCAUCGUCGCCUGGCUCUGCUCAGUCAUCCCUGAAGGGGAAAAGAGAUUCUUUGACCAAGCAUUCAGAGGCUAUGGACUUCAGAGAUUGGUGUGAGAGUGAGUGUGUUCGACUUCUUGGGACGAAAGAUACAAGUUUCUUGGAGUUUUGCUUGAAGCAAACCAGAACAGAGGCUGAGAUGCUUCUGACAGAGAACCUUGGUUCAUUUGAUCCUGAUCACGAGUUUAUUGAAAAAUUCCUCAACUACAAGGAGUUGUUAGCAGGCGAUGUACUUGAAAUUGCCUUUCAGAGUUGGAAUGAUCGCAAGGUAUCCCGAAGUGGUGCCAAAGAAAUGAAUUCUGACAAUGCUGGCUUUGGGGGUGUGGACCGUGAUGGCCCUGAUGGGUCAUCAAAAGCAGGAGGCAAAAGGAAGGGGAAGAAAGGGAAGAAAGUAAGCCCUGUGGUGUUGGGAUUCAAUGUUGUUAGUAACCGUAUCAUGAUGGGUGAAAUUCAGACCGUUGAAGACUAAGACAGGAGACAGGAUGCUUGAGAGGUGGUUGUAAAUACAUUUUGCUAGAAAGCUGCCUGAAAGCUGAUGACUUUGUUUGGCAUGCGAAUGACAACCUAGCUUGGGAGGACAUCCGGGUUUAGAUAUGAGGCCUUAGCUGGGUUUUUGAGGCCGAGGAUGAUGGUCUCCAUGUAGCUCAGGGACUUUGCAGUUCCGCUUAUGGUACAGAUAUGCUGGAAGGUUUCUAGGUUUUGAGGCUGGGGAUGAUGGUUUCCGGCUUAGGGACUUUGCAAUUCCGCUUAUGGUCCGGCGGUUAUGCUGGAAGGCUUCUAUUUAUUUGACAACCCUUUCCUUUCCUUUCCGAUUGGCAUAAUACGUUACUCUUCACUUUGUUGCUUUGUUAGAAUAUGAGUUGAAACCAUUUCCAUACGUUCUUUUAACUUUUAACAUGCUAUCCACCAACUCAUCCAAAUGAACAACGGCUGUAACCUUUGGUGUCAGUUUGGCUUUUUUGGUAACUCUCAGCACUGAGAACAGCAUGAAAACAUGGUGUUUUGCAUUUGAAAAUAAAUCCUACUUUAAAACU